rnacentral:rRNA from 1 species
UCUGGUUGAUCCUGCCAGUAGUCAUAUGCUUGUCUCAAAGAUUAAGCCAUGCAUGUCUAAGUAUAAGCAAUUUAUACAGUGAAACUGCGAAUGGCUCAUUAAAUCAGUUAUCGUUUAUUUGAUAGUUUCUUUACUACAUGGAAUACCUGUGGUAAUUCUAGAGCUAAUACAUGCUUAAAAUCCCAACUUACGAAGGGAUGUAUUUAUUAGAUAAAAAAUCAAUGUCUUCGGACUUCUGAUGAUUCAUAAUAACUUUUCGAAUCGCAUGGCUUUAUGCUGGCGAUGGUUCAUUCAAAUUUCUGCCCUAUCAACUUUUGAUGGUAGGAUAGUGGCCUACCAUGGUUUCAACGGGUAACGGGGAAUAAGGGUUCGAUUCCGGAGAGGGAGCCUGAGAAACGGCUACCACAUCCAAGGAAGGCAGCAGGCGCGCAAAUUACCCAAUCCUAAUUCAGGGAGGUAGUGACAAUAAAUAACGAUACAGGGCUUUAUGUCUUGUAAUUGGAAUGAGUACAAUUUAAAUACCUUAACGAGGAACAAUUGGAGGGCAAGUCUGGUGCCAGCAGCCGCGGUAAUUCCAGCUCCAAUAGCGUAUAUUAAAGUUGUUGCAGUUAAAAAGCUCGUAGUUGAACUUUGGGCUUGGAGAAUCGGUCCAACUUUGUUGUGUACUGUCUUCUCCAGGUCUUUCCUUCUGGUUCUCAUUUGGGGUUUACUCCAUUUGUUGAUCCAGGAUUUUUACUUUGAAAAAAUUAGAGUGUUCAAAGCAGGCGUUUUGCUCGAAUAUAUUAGCAUGGAAUAAUAGAAUAGGACGAUUGGUUCUAUUUUGUUGGUUUCUAGGACCAUCGUAAUGAUUAAUAGGGACGGUCGGGGGCAUCAGUAUUCAGUUGUCAGAGGUGAAAUUCUUGGAUUUACUGAAGACUAACUACUGCGAAAGCAUUUGUCAAGGACGUUUUCAUUAAUCAAGAACGAAAGUUAGGGGAUCGAAGAUGAUCAGAUACCGUCGUAGUCUUAACCAUAAACUAUGCCGACUAGGGAUCGGGCGGUGCCUUUUAUUGGCCCACUCGGCACCUUACGAGAAAUCAAAGUUUUUGGGUUCUGGGGGGAGUAUGGUCGCAAGGCUGAAACUUAAAGGAAUUGACGGAAGGGCACCACCAGGAGUGGAGCCUGCGGCUUAAUUUGACUCAACACGGGGAAACUCACCAGGUCCAGACACAAUAAGGAUUGACAGAUUGAGAGCUCUUUCUUGAUUUUGUGGGUGGUGGUGCAUGGCCGUUCUUAGUUGGU